rnacentral:rRNA from 1 species
GACGUAGGGCGCGAGCGUUGUCCGGAUUUAUUGGGCGUAAAGAGCUCGUAGGCGGCUUGUCGCGUCGUUCGUGAAAACUCACAGCUCAACUGUGAGCUUGCGGUCGAUACGGGCAGGCUAGAGUUCGGUAGGGGAGACUGGAAUUCCUGGUGUAGCGGUGAAAUGCGCAGAUAUCAGGAGGAACACCGGUGGCGAAGGCGGUUCUCUGGGCAUUACCUGACGCUGAGGAGCGAAAGUGUGGGGAGCGAACAGG